UAACGCGUGGGUAACCUGCCUCAUACAGGGGGAUAACAGUUGGAAACGACUGCUAAUACCGCAUAAGCGCACAGGAUCGCAUGAUCUGGUGUGAAAAACUCCGGUGGUAUGAGAUGGACCCGCGUCUGAUUAGCCAGUUGGCAGGGUAACGGCCUACCAAAGCGACGAUCAGUAGCCGACCUGAGAGGGUGACCGGCCACAUUGGGACUGAGACACGGCCCAAACUCCUACGGGAGGCAGCAGUGGGGAAUAUUGCACAAUGGGGGAAACCCUGAUGCAGCGACGCCGCGUGAGCGAAGAAGUAUUUCGGUAUGUAAAGCUCUAUCAGCAGGGAAGAAGAAUGACGGUACCUGACUAAGAAGCACCGGCUAAAUACGUGCCAGCAGCCGCGGUAAUACGUAUGGUGCAAGCGUUAUCCGGAUUUACUGGGUGUAAAGGGAGCGCAGGCGGUGCGGCAAGUCUGAUGUGAAAGCCCGGGGCUCAACCCCGGUACUGCAUUGGAAACUGUCGUACUAGAGUGUCGGAGGGGUAAGUGGAAUUCCUAGUGUAGCGGUGAAAUGCGUAGAUAUUAGGAGGAACACCAGUGGCGAAGGCGGCUUACUGGACGAUAACUGACGCUGAGGCUCGAAAGCGUGGGGAGCAAACAGGAUUAGAUACUCUGGUAGUCCACGCCGUAAACGAUGAAUACUGGGUGU
rnacentral:rRNA from 1 species